AUUGAACGCUGGCGGCAUGCCUUACACAUGCAAGUCGAACGGUAACGGGCCUUCGGGUGCCGACGAGUGGCGAACGGGUGAGUAAUGUAUCGGAACGUACCUUUCAGUGGGGGAUAACGUAGCGAAAGUUACGCUAAUACCGCAUAUUCUGUGCGCGGGAAAGCAGGGGAUCGCAAGACCUUGCGCUGAUUGAACGGCCGAUAUCAGAUUAGCUAGUUGGUGAGGUAAAGGCCCACCAAGGCGACGAUCUGGAGCGGGUCUGAGAAGAUGAUCCGCCACACUGGGACUGAGACACGGCCCAGACUCCUACGGGAGGCAGCAGUGGGGAAUAUUGGACAAUGGGCGGAAGCCUGAUCCAGCCAUGCCGCGUGUGUGAAGAAGGCCUUUUGGUUGUAAAGCACUUUAAGCGAGGAGGAGGCUACUAGUACUAAUACUACUGGAUAGUGGACGUUACUCGCAGAAUAAGCACCGGCUAACUCUGUGCCAGCAGCCGCAGUAACAC
rnacentral:rRNA from 1 species